AUGGAAGAGGUUGAGAAGAAGCAGCCAACCUUCCGCAAGUUCACCUACCUCAGCGUGGACCUGGACCAGCUGCUGGACAUGUCCCACAAGCAGCUGAUGUAGCUAUACAGUGCGCGCCAACGGACGCCGCUGAAGCUGGGCCUGCGGCGGCUGAAGCCAGGCCUCUGGCGGAAGCAGCACUAGCUGCCGAGGCCCCUGCCUAAGGCCAAGGAGGCACCGCCCAUGGAGAAGCCGGAAGUGGUGAAGACAUACCAGCAGGACAAGAUCAUUCUGUCCAAGAUGGUGGGCAGCACGGUGGGCGUCUACAACAGCAAGACCUUCAACCAAGUGGAGAUCAAGCCGGAGAUGAUCGGCCACUACCUGGGCGAGUUCCCCAUCACCUACAAGCCUGUGAAGCACGGCCGGCCGGGCAUUGGGGCCACCCACUCCUCCCGCUUCAUCACCCUCAAGUAGUGGCUCCACUAAUAAAGGCACACAUUUCUCC